UACGAAGGGGGCUAGCGUUGUUCGGAAUUACUGGGCGUAAAGGGCGCGUAGGUGGCCUGUUAAGUCGAACGUGAAAUCCCCGGGCUCAACCCGGGAACUGCGUCCGAGACUGGCAGGCUCGAAUCCGGGAGAGGGAUGUGGAAUUCCAGGUGUAGCGGUGAAAUGCGUAGAUAUCUGGAGGAACACCGGUGGCGAAGGCGGCAUCCUGGACCGGUAUUGACGCUGAGGCGCGAAAGCCAGGGGAGCAAACGGG
rnacentral:rRNA from 1 species